rnacentral:sRNA from 1 species
AUAUCUCUCCGUACGGGAAGGAUGAGAAGCUUCGACUAAGGUUCGAUUCGAGCGCAGCGAGAAAGCG